CUAAGUAUUCCAACUAUUCUUCUCUCAACCUCUCUACUUCUCUCUACUAAGUGUUUUAAAGGAAGCUUUGAAGCUCCAACCUCCAACUCUUCACGGAAUCACCAAAGGAAGACUUAGCAACCUUGUGAAAAGAUGUUUUGUGUUCAAGAUGAAGAUGGUUAUCAAGAAGCGAAGCCCGCCGAAGGAUUACAACGCAUCAUCAGGUUUUCAUGGUGACGAUGGUGUGUUUUUUGGUUGGCUGCUAUGUGUUGUGAAGAUGGAUGUUGUUGUGAAGACCAUUUUUAGAAGCAUUACAACUAUUGAUAUAAAAUUCAUUUUUAUUUUCA